CAUUAGGUAAAAACAACGAAUGGACCCGUCGAUUUGUUUUUAAAUACUGGGAUGACGUAAGUGAGCAGGAGAUUACAUAUAGUCAUGAAGGAAAUCCUGUGAACUUCAAAGGCAAUACUGAUAGAAGUUCACUAAAGUACAAUAUAUUUUCUAACCCCAUCAUCACAAGAGAAUUUAAGAUAUACCCUACCGAUUGGAACAACUGGCCAGCUUUGCGAGUAGACAUCCUUGGCCAACCUCUGUCGUCAUAUAACUAUAGUCAGUCGGUAGUGAAAUGCUAUUUUGUGACGGACGAAAUUAGAAGCAAUACCAGCUCACCAUCUGCCUCUAGCUUAGAUGAAUGUAAAACAUCAUGCCUGCAGUCUGGUUAUCCAUUAUGCAGUUUUUACAUAG